AAGCAAAAUAAAAAAUAAAGAGAGCACGAAAGAACAAUGCAGGUCAAUCUCUCACCAUUCGCCUUUAUAAUGCUGGUUUGCAGAGCUUAAGUGCUCAUCCUUUUGGCAGGUCGUUCUCUGGGAUUACAUGUGAAGCAGCACAUAGCACGGACAUCCAAUAUAUCCAUUAUAUUCACUAUAAAAGCAGACACUUACACUGUCCUAGCUAAACGAGCCACACGCACACGCACACGCACGCCAGCGCGCUGACGUCAAGACUGUGAGACGGGGGAAGUGUCCUGCAGCGGGGUGUAGCUGUAACUUCCUCGAAACUUUCGUUUUCACUCGUUACGGCCGUGUAGGUGGACGUGGUAGCUGCGAGAGAAUAAAUGAAAGGCAACACAGCAGCUAUUCUCUCUUUGGAUGCCCAAAAAUCAUGUGACCUCAUAUAAAUGAGGGUUUAAAGAUAAAGAUUUGACCUAUAAAAUCUACUGCAGCUGGAGGCUCGGGCUUCCCUGUGUUUAAGCGCUACUACUGGGCUGCUGAUGAUAGAAUUCUUACCUGCUUGCAGCG